UGCAAGGUAAGUCAACCAAGUGUACCUUUAUGAAAUUUUCCCUAGUUUUUUCCUUUCCCUGCAAAAAAAAUGCUGGCAGAGCAGGAAGAGAUAAUCGUGUGUAAGGGUAGUCCUGUAAACUUCCUGAAUCUUGGUGGGUGAUUUGGGUUUUCCUCCCAGGGGAAGGAAGCUAUAGAAAAUCCGAUUUAUUUUUCUCUUUAUUGGCUUUCUUGUUCUUUAUAAUUUCGUGUAGGGAUUUGGAACAGUUCUACUCUGUACUGAUAUGUCAUUCUAGUUACGAGAAAUUAGAGUUUAUGCCCUGAAAAAAAAAAAUUAAAAAAAUAAAAGCCCAAGAACUUAGGGUUUCAACUUUAAGAGAAGCCAUCUCUAGUGAGAUCCGAGUAGUUCGACACUUGGGCUUAAGUUUUCCACCAAAUCGAAGUCGCGUGUAUGAAUCGAGAUCAUUCAGUUGCUUGAGAUAGAGAACAAGAAAGAAAAAAAUCAUCACCAGAGAGCGAACAGUGGUAGAAGAAGAAGCGGAAGGAAGAAGAAAAGCUAUAACAUUUGGAAUAAGUACUGGCCUUGAUUGUUACUGCUAGUAGGUGGACGAUUGAUUAGUUGAAUUGCAGCUUAUGGUGCAGAAGAAGCUUCUCCAGGUGAACGAAGACGGAAUCUUAGCAUGUUAGGAUCAAGUCGCAAUCUUGACUGUAAACGCUGAAGUUUUGCAGCGAUGGUUAUUGCAAUAUCUUGUUCCAUAAUAUUCUUUUGUGUUGAAUUCUUGCAUUCUUUGUUGCAUCCUCUCUUUCAUUUCCUCCUUUUUUUGCUGCAUUAUUUCAUCAGUAGCAUUUAAAGAGGGUCUAGAAUCUCCCAUUUUCCCUUUCAAGACAGUCUUGGUACCCUAUGUCCAUACAAUCUUACACGACCUGCGCUCAGGUCGUGUCAACGGGUUGAUUGCAAUCUUCACGUUCUUGAGUUCCUAUUCUCUCCAUUUCAGCCCACAAAUCAGAUUUAAGGAAGAAAGCUCAAAUAAAUUAAACUGACUUAAAAUUUAAGAACAAACAAAUGACCACAACAAACUUCAGAUAAGUAAUUUUGUACAAUUUUGCAAAUCAUAUCUUCAUAUGAGGCCUUGUAUACUUGACCAAGUUUUCUUCUACUUGUAGCCACAAAGAUGUCCCUACUCUUUACUUGACAGAGCAUUGAAACUUUCCUUCUUUUUUUUCCCAGUUACAUGAAGUUGUGGCUACAAGAAGAAUGAAUCGGCCCAAAUAUGCAAGGACUCAUAGGAAGAUGCUAUUUGCGGAUUUGUACAAAAUUGUUAUUGAAAUUUGUCGUGGUCAAUUGGUUGUUCUUAAAUUUUGAGUCAGUUUAAUUUAUUUGAGCUCUCUUCUCUUGAAUCUAAUUUGUAGGCUGAAAUAGAGAGAAUAGAAAGUGAAGAUUGCAUUCAAUCAGUUGACGCAUUUGCAUCAGUCAUGGGACCUGAGCAUCCAGGUCGUGUAAGAUUGUAUGGACACGGGUUACCAAGACUGUCUUGAAAGCAAAAGUGGGAGAUUUUGAACCCUCUUUAAACGCUACUGAUGAAAUGAUUCUCCAAAAAAUGGAGGAAAUGGAAGAGAGGGUGCAACAAAGAAUGCAGGAAUUCAACGCACAAAGGAUACUAUGGAACAAGAUAUUGCAACGAACGUCAUUGCAGAACUUCAGCGUCUAAACCCAAGAUGACAACUUGAUCCUAAUAUUCUAAGGUUUAUUGUUCGUUCACUGGGAGAAGCUUCUUCUGCAUCACAAGCUGCUAAUCACGUCCAUAUACUGGUAGUAACAAUCAAGGUCAAUACUUAUUCCAAAUGUUACACCUUUUCUUCUUCCUUAUGUUUCACCCAAUUGUCCAAAUAAAACAGAGAACUAACAGAAUUAGGGUUUAAACUUUAACAGAAGCUUUUGGUGCCAACCACCGUAACACUCACCGAUGCCAUCUCUACCGGAGAUCCGAGUAGCUCGACACUUGGCCUUAAGUUGUCGACCAAAUCGAAGUUAGGGAUGGACCCCCGUGGAGUCAAGUGGAUUCAACUGAACCCACUUCAUUGGGUUGGCACUGGUACAACGGUGAAGUGGGUUCAAGACCACGCUGCGGAUGCGGGAUCGAAUGCGUUUGGCAACAUCGGCGCUGCUUUUUGGUUGCUCUUGGUGUUCUGUAUAUGGUAGGCCAUUGUCCAAUCAUGUUACGGAAAAUCAAAAAAUGGCCAACAAUAUUAGUUAAUGUUGGGUCAACUAGCCAGCCUUUAUAUUGAAUUUCUUUUUUCUA